UCUGGGUCUGGGGAUGUGGUACCGGCUGCUGGCGGCGGCCGGCAGUAGAGCGGUGGCCAGGCCGCUGGCCUUGCUGUGGCGAUGUGGUGGCCCAGGAGGCGGCAGGACGGCCAAGACCAGCGCGAGGGCCCUGGGCAAGGCCCGACAGUGGUUAUGGCCAGUGAGAAUGUGCGGUGUUGCAUUGCAGAAGAAGCUAGGAAAGCUCAUCUGGCCUCCUGUUCCAGUGCUUCCAGGGGAUCCACGUUCAGAAGCUGACUCUGCAGGCAAGACCGACGUUAUUUUCCUGGUGGCUGUGUUCAAAACCACCCAAAGGGUUUGAGAAAUACUUUAAGAGGAGUGGAAGGAACACAAACUGAGAAACAUCAACAGCACCAAAAAAAGGUAAAAGGGCCAGUUUGAAAAAUCAGACUGUGAAGUUUUACAGUUGAGUACUUUUAAAGCAUUCACUGAAUGGGCUGAUCUCCUUGGGAACUGAUAAGCAGGUGGGCCUGUGAGUGUGUGAUGGUGACAUCGUCUUCCCUGAGCUUGCUCCUGGGCGGUACCCAUCCUUCCCAGGUCACCAGCACCUUCUCA
rnacentral:lncRNA from 1 species